AUUUAAAUAGUUUAUCAAAAACAUUACAUUUUCAUUGUAAAAUUAUAUAUUCUAUAUUUUAAAUA
rnacentral:tRNA from 1 species